rnacentral:rRNA from 1 species
AUAAAUGGCCGCAGUACCUUGACUGUGCUAAGGUAGCAUAAUCAAUUGGCUUUUAAUUAAAGUCUGGAAUGAAAGGGAAAAUGAAAAAUAUCUGUCUUAAAUAUACUAUAUAAAACUUAUUUAUCAGGUGCAAAUACCUGUAUUUUGAAUAAAGACGAGAAGACCCUAUGAGUUUUAAUUAAUACUAAUCACUGAAUUAUUUAUUUUUUUGUUGGGGCGACAUGUUAACAUUUUGAACUUAACUUAUAAUAUUUAGCGUAAUUGUAAAAUGAAUUUAAACUACCUUAGGGAUAACAGCAUAAUUUAUUUUUAAGUUUGUGACCUCGAUGUUGGACUAGGAACUAUAUGGC